GUUAGCAUGGUGUAGUGGUUUGAACAUUAGAUUAUGACUCUGAAGACCACGGUUCAAAUCCCUGCUUGGUGAUC